rnacentral:rRNA from 1 species
GAAGUGCAGACUCGGAAGGGCAGGUGCUACGGGUCGGCAGAGACAGGGGCGGGCGGAGCGGCGAAGGGGCGAUGGGGCGGACAGAGCGGCGGCGGGCCUGCGGGUGCUCGGAGAAGGAGAGAGGACGAAGAGGCAGGUAGGUAGGCCAGGAGUCUCGGUCGGCGCGGGUGGCGCGCAGGCGCGGGGGGGAUGCCCGACGACGGAACGGGGCCGCCGGGCCGCGAGCCUCGUUCGGCGGUGGGCGGCGGGUCUGGUGUAGAGUCCAGAGGUCGUGAGGGCCACUGGCAGUCUAAACUCCAACGUCAUAACCCACUGUCGAAGGACAUAGUAGGCCAACGAAGGGGCGCACUGUCGAUGUGAGGUAAGACGAGGCGAUAGCCAGUCGAGGUAACUCUUAGAUCUACACGAACAGCAGCGCUUACAAGCUACCCUUCUGUGCGAGGAAGAGGUAAUGGUCUUUCCGAAAGGGACUUUCAUUUAUACAGGAGGGACAGGGUUAGAGGGCGGAUCGGGUGGCAGUAGAGGGGGAAGAGGAUAGGAUACGUUGGCAGAGUCCAGAAAACGAGUUCCAUGGGAACGAGGUGAGACAGGAAGCGAGUGAGAGGAGUCCAGGACAGGGUAGAGAGAGGGAGAGUAAGGAGAGGGAUGAGGCGGCCAGACCGAUGUACGGGUAGCUAUUGAUGAGGGAAUCGCGACGAGAAAGAUGGCGGCGGGCGUACGGGAGGCAACAACAACCACGGGUCGAGGUAUGGGAAAGACACUUUGAGCCGAAUUCAAGACUAUUGAAACAGGAAUUAUGAGAAUAGUUAUACAUGAGCAGAACAUCAAUAGGUAGAUGACGUUCUAGUCAAGAACUAAGACGAGGGUUUCCUCGGAGACUAUGUCAAAGAACCUUAUGUUAGUAACGACCUAUGUAUGUACGACCCGACGGAUUAUUCCGUAACGUCCGGAAAUCGGUUUACCGGUUCCGCGUUCAAUACGACCUACUUCAGUGGAACGACUUACGAGAUCAACGAACACGUUCCUGUACGUACUACUUCCAGCCUUUCGAGACAGUACGUAAUGAACACUGUUUACCAAAACUCUAAUUGACAAUAUACCCAAGGAGAAACUAAUCAUACAUACGUUUCACACCCGACCAACUUCUACGAGCGUCCCAAAAACUACCUAACGGACUCUCCUUACGCCAAACGACCUGGAGUUACUAAAGACCUAUAUGUGUCAAUCCAGUCAGAUUUCUCCGACAAUUCGAUAAGUCUCUGUACGUCUAACGACCUCACUUUCAACUACUACGUUGUUAACGAUGACAACAUAGAAGUACGCCGGUCUACCCUCGUGACCUGAACCCUGCCAUACAGGUACGAAUGACACUGUAAGUACCAAAUCCCUUCCUAUAAAGACACUUUUUAAGUAACUAACUGUACAUGAGUUUCACACCCCUAUAUUUUUUCCGGAUACUAUAUAAAACACCUUACCAGUUCGCCCUACUAAAACGGACCUGUCACUACUAUUACCCGAAACGACGCUUACCGGAGAGACCACUCCGUGAUCUAAACAAACGCGUCUACCUUCUUCUCCCACUUCAGUACGGCUUACUCUAUUGAAAGAACCCACAGGAUUGAAGAACGUCGGUACCUCCUAAUCAACUUGUUCCUAUGGUAGUGAAGGUAGCGUACAGGUCAUAAAUGCCAUAACGGGGUUUCUAACUUGUGAUGCCUACGUACCAACUAGAGGACCCCGCACGAUUCAAUAACCGUCUCCGUCUUGUCAAGUAAUUUCUCUACGGAUAGCGAGGACUACAACAUUACACCGCCAGCAACAACAAACGGACGUCUCGGACACCUCUCCACCCUGAACGUCUCAUACAUCGUCUUUCCUAGGUUCAUAACCUCGGUUUGUCCACACCUCCCCUGCAAAAUGAAAGAUGACAGAUACGAUGGUGUAGUUCCACCCAACUACGUUUGUUUCACUCCUGUCCUUAUAUGUCAUCGUCUUUCUGGUUCGUCGGACCAACGAGAAAGUAACUUCACCUACCUACGCACGUACUCAAGAAACGUCCCCUGCUCAGUGUAAAACUUUGACUUCGAUAUAUGUUGUGAGAAAAUCCCUAAUUACUUGACAAUCAUCGUCUCAGGAAGGACUACACUUUCGAUUAUGUAAAGAUACGUCCCAUAGUACACGGGCGAGUGGACAUAGUGACACAACCAGUACCCUUACAUUUUGGUCGUCGGACUUUCAAGGUUUGAGGUCAUAAAUCAAUAAAUGAACUUGACCCGGUACCUAGCCUUCUUAGUUUGAGGUGUCCCAGUUUAACGUGUUCACUAACAACUUAAAGAUCUCCAUCGACAGUCGACGUAACAGAAGGAGUUUCCAAAGAUAGGGUGAGCACGUAAACUCUCCUCUUCCAUGUACUUACAUCAACAGGUCUUUCGACACGUGGGCGUCGAACGACUGAUAUAGGUGAGACACUGAUGACCGGAAGAUGGAAAGUAUGUUUUCCCUGACCAACUCUCCCAACACCAGUAGAAGGUACUGUUUCUAGUGUAUGGUGACCUCUUCAAACACAAGUUCGAACGUCAGUUGGUCAGGAUACCGAGGCUCAAUCUUCUUAGGUCGGACCUUAAACGAGACGCCCGCAAGAACUAGUUUGACUGGCAGCGACCUGGAGAGUGUUUCGGGGAAGGCAGUCUAUCGUCGACCCUCUAGUGGCGGAUGAAGGCUAGGGAGGGGCGCCUUCUUCCACGCUUCCUGUUCCUCCUCCUGCUCCGAGCCGACACCUAGGGGUGCCUGUGGUUCCGCACCUACGUCGGCGGCGUCUAUUGGGGGUAGUUCAGUUACCCCACACUAGGAAACUUCUACGUCGAGAUGGAUCUUGUUGGACCUGGUAGUCGUCUGCGUCUCCUAGGACGAAGCAUCGCUGCUUGGUAAUCGGAGGGAGGGACCAAGUACAUACGAGCGUUCAGCUCGUCUUGUAUUAGACUAUAAACACCCGUCAGACCGGGACAACGCUUGUUCCAGCGACAAAAAUAAUAAAACACCGACAACAGAUACCACUCAGACCUGUUC